GGGCCGACAACCUGCGGG
rnacentral:misc_RNA from 1 species